UGUCACGUGUGUGAAAUCUUUUCACUUGC
rnacentral:piRNA from 1 species